AUAACGGAGGAGGUGGGACGACGUCAAGUCAUCACCGGCCCUUUAUGCCUGGGGCGACACACGUGCUACAAUGGCCGGUACAAAGAGCUGCAAAGCCGCGAGGCAGAGCUAAUCUCAAAAAGCCGGUCUCAGUUCGGAUUGGAGUCUGCAACUCGACUACAUGAAGUCGGAAUCGCUAGUAAUCGCGAAUCAGAAUGUCGCGGUGAAUACGUUCUCGAGUCUU
rnacentral:rRNA from 1 species